AAUGCACCAAUUUGUAAGUCGCUCUGGAUAAGACCGUCUUCUAAAUGACUUAAA
rfam:Salmo salar isolate Sally breed double haploid chromosome ssa09, whole genome shotgun sequence.